AGCCGCUCUCUUUCAUCCCAGACCUGUUGCAAUUUUGGAGCUGGUUAUCUGCUUUUCCAAAGGGCUUGGUGACUCUUGGCAGUCCACCAGAUCCAUCUAGCAGUCCCGUUUUCUCACCUCGGCCUUCACCGAAACUCCCCCAUUUGACAUUUGGAAACAUUCGGCAGGGAGGAAAAGCACAGCCGUAUACUUGGUGACCUGUGCUAAAAACUGGAGUUUGGAAAAACUUUGGUGGAUGGAUAAACUGGAGGAGAGAAUGAGGUCUUGGAAAAAGCAAG
rnacentral:lncRNA from 11 species